ACGGGUGAGUAACACGUGGGCAACCUGCCUGUAAGACUGGGAUAACUUCGGGAAACCGAAGCUAAUACCGGAUAGGAUCUUCUCCUUCAUGGGAGAUGAUUGAAAGAUGGUUUCGGCUAUCACUUACAGAUGGGCCCGCGGUGCAUUAGCUAGUUGGUGAGGUAACGGCUCACCAAGGCAACGAUGCAUAGCCGACCUGAGAGGGUGAUCGGCCACACUGGGACUGAGACACGGCCCAGACUCCUACGGGAGGCAGCAGUAGGGAAUCUUCCGCAAUGGACGAAAGUCUGACGGAGCAACGCCGCGUGAGUGAUGAAGGCUUUCGGGUCGUAAAACUCUGUUGUUAGGGAAGAACAAGUACGAGAGUAACUGCUCGUACCUUGACGGUACCUAACCAGAAAGCCACGGCUAACUACGUGCCAGCAGCCGCGGUAAUACGUAGGUGGCAAGCGUUAUCCGGAAUUAUUGGGCGUAAAGCGCGCGCAGGCGGUUUCUUAAGUCUGAUGUGAAAGCCCACGGCUCAACCGUGGAGGGUCAUUGGAAACUGGGGAACUUGAGUGCAGAAGAGAAAAGCGGAAUUCCACGUGUAGCGGUGAAAUGCGUAGAGAUGUGGAGGAACACCAGUGGCGAAGGCGGCUUUUUGGUCUGUAACUGACGCUGAGGCGCGAAAGCGUGGGGAGCAA
rnacentral:rRNA from 2 species